GAAGGUGUAGCUCAGUGGUAGAGUGCUUGCCUUGCAUGCACAAGGCCCUGGGUUCAAUCCCCAGCACCACA